UUGCACUGUUCGUAACCUGUUAACAGUAUCCUCCUGCUAGUGGGUUCCAUUCCAGUGCUACAUAAAUCCCCAAAGUAGUAGAAAGCUGGCUGUAUUUGGUUGGCAUUGCUGUUUUGGGGGACAUGA
rnacentral:snoRNA from 1 species